GGUAGCGUGGCCGAGCUUUCUAAGGCGUUGGAUUAAGGCUCCAGUCUCUUCGGGGAGCGUGGGUUCAAAUCCCACCGUUGCCA